GUAAGAAAACUGAUUUAGAAAUCUUGUGUUGAGCACCAGUCCUCUGACAUCCUGCCUCUUGUCUCCACUGCAGGGCUUCAGACCUGGUCAGACUACCAGAGCCUGAAUCAUGCCAGUUAAUCCUGUGAAGCUGUUGGCCCUCGUGCUGUGCCUAGGAUGGACAGUUAUGACUCAAGAAGGAUCUCUGUCAAAGCCUUCCAUCUCAGCUGAACCAAGCCUUGUGAUCCACAAAGGGCAUUUUGUAACCAUUGUGUGCUCAACCCCUAGUGGAUAUGAUACAUUCCGCCUGGAGAAGGGAAGCCAUUGUGUCAUGGAGAAGAAGAACACACAGCCUCUAAUGACAGAGGCUAGAUUCCUCCUUGGCCCAGUGAAUGAAAGCACUGCUGGAGACUAUCAUUGCCUCUAUUAUAAAAAGUCCAUCUGGUCCCCACGCAGUGAGAACUUGGAGCUGAAGGUAACCAGAGAAGACGUCACCCAGGCUCCUGACCCAGGCUCAACAGUGAACUCAGGUCUCCUUUGCCCAUAUACCCCAGAUUCCCAGAAAUGUAGUCUUAGCAGACACCAAGAAUUAUCUGGAUACAACUCCAGACUGGAGAGUUGGGUCCAAAUCUGUCUCUGAUUAUGAAGUAGAGACUGAUACCCAGCAAUGGUGAAGACAGACUCAUUUCAAGGUGGUCUUUUCACUGGCCAUGCUAGUCUUUUGUGGGACCCAUUUGCACACUGUGUGAGAGCCAGGGUGUGCCCUCAGUGAUCUAAGGGUGCUGGAAUGAGGAAAAUCAGAAUGAAGGCAUGGAGUACAGGGGCAUUGGGAAUGAUGGGACAGUCAGGCCAAGGACUCAAGAUGUCUGAAUCGUCAAAAAAGGAGGAGAAGCUUCAUGUCCCUUCAGCCCUCUUUUCUGAGCCAUAGCAGACGCUGUGAACUUUGCCCCUUUUUAAGAAAGAGCUUCCCCACAGUCUCUACCCCACAGAGUUACAAGGUGUGGAUUGGUGUCCGCAUGGCCCUGGCUGGAGUAGUCUUUCUGGUCUUGGUGGCAAUCCUUGGAGAAGCUUGGCACAACAAACACAAGUCCACAGAUAGAUCAGGUUCCGUGAAUCUAUGAAGAGACAACCAAUGACAAAGGCUAAUUUGGGCAGCUAAGAAGACCAAGGACUCAUAUUGUCCCAUGAGAUACAUGGAUACAGACUCUGUUGCCAGAGAAUAUUCUCCAAUUCACAACAGGGAGAGGAAACAAAACAUCACAUUCUCUCUGGAACAUCAGAUAUCUGUCCAGAGAACUUGAUUCAAUAUGUUAUUUCAUAGCCCUGAAUCUUCCUACACCCCCUUUCUGAGUCUUUCUUGCCUCCUGGUUGGUACUUGUUCCAUCCCUUAAAAUCUUGCCUCUGUUGGUCCUUAAAGAUAAUUAAAGUUUCCUGUGAGAUGUAUAUAAAUAGGUUUUCCUUAUUAAAGAGGAAUGUUUGCAAGGAACCACAGGCAGCAAAGGAAGGCUGAGAGUGGGAAAACUAAUCUUCUCUAAGGAAAAGAACAACUUUUAAAAUAAAACCCGUUUUCCAAA